rnacentral:rRNA from 1 species
CCUACGGGAGGCAGCAGUGGGGAAUAUUGGACAAUGGGGGGAACCCUGAUCCAGCGACGCCGCGUGAGUGAAGAAGUAUUUCGGUAUGUAAAGCUCUAUCAGCAGGGAAGUAAGAAAUGACGGUACCUGACUAAGAAGCCUCCGCUAACUACGUGCCUGCAGCCGCUGUAAUACGUAGGGGGCAGUCGUUAUCCGGAUUUACUGGGUGUAAAGGGAGCGUAGAUGGCGAUGCAAGUCUGAAGUGAAAGGCGGGGGCCCAACCCACAGACUGCAUUGGAAACUGUCUGGCUGGAGUGCAGGAGAGGUAAGUGGAAUUCCUAGUGUAGCGGUGAAAUGCGUAGAUAUUAGGAGGAACACCAGUUGCGAAGGCAGCUUACUGGACUGUAACUGACGUUGAGGCUCGAAAGCGUGGGGAGCAAACAGGAUUAGAUACCCGGGUAGUC